rnacentral:rRNA from 1 species
ACGUCGUGNGACCCGCAAGGGGCCAAGCGGCCGAAGGCGAGCAUCAUGACUGGGGCG